rnacentral:rRNA from 1 species
UGACAUAAGUAACGAUAAAGCGGGUGAAAAGCCCGCUCGCCGGAAGACCAAGGGUUCCUGUCCAACGUUAAUCGGGGCAGGGUGAGUCGACCCCUAAGGCGAGGCCGAAAGGCGUAGUCGAUGGGAAACAGGUUAAUAUUCCUGUACUUGGUGUUACUGCGAAGGGGGGACGGAGAAGGCUAUGUUAGCCGGGCGACGGUUGUCCCGGUUUAAGCAUGUAGGCUGAUUGUCCAGGCAAAUCCGGAUAAUCAAGGCUGAGGUGUGAUGACGAGGCACUACGGUGCUGAAGUAACAAAUGCCCUGCUUCCAGGAAAAGCCUCUAAGCAUCAGGUAACAUUAAAUCGUACCCCAAACCGACACAGGUGGUCAGGUAGAGAAUACCAAGGCGCUUGAGAGAACUCGGGUGAAGGAACUAGGCAAAAUGGUGCCGUAACUUCGGGAGAAGGCACGCUGGUGUGUAGGUGAAGUCCCUGCGGAUGGAGCUGAGACCAGUCGAAGAUACCAGCUGGCUGCAACUGUUUAUUAAAAACACAGCACUGUGCAAACACGAAAGUGGACGUAUACGGUGUGACGCCUGCCCGGUGCCGGAAGGUUAAUUGAUGGGGUUAUCCGUAAGGAGAAGCUCUUGAUCGAAGCCCCGGUAAACGGCGGCCGUAACUAUAACGGUCCUAAGGUAGCGAAAUUCCUUGUCGGGUAAGUUCCGACCUGCACGAAUGGCGUAAUGAUGGCCAGGCUGUCUCCACCCGAGACUCAGUGAAAUUGAACUCGCUGUGAAGAUGCAGUGUACCCGCGGCAAGACGGAAAGACCCCGUGAACCUUUACUAUAGCUUGACACUGAACAUUGAGCCUUGAUGUGUAGGAUAGGUGGGAGGCUUUGAAGCGUGGACGCCAGUCUGCGUGGAGCCAACCUUGAAAUACCACCCUUUAAUGUUUGAUGUUCUAACGUUGGCCCCUGACCGGGGUUGCGGACAGUGUCUGGUGGGUAGUUUGACUGGGGCGGUCUCCUCCCAAAGCGUAACGGAGGAGCACGAAGGUUAGCUAAUCCUGGUCGGACAUCAGGAGGUUAGUGCAAUGGCAUAAGCUAGCUUGACUGCGAGCGUGACGGCGCGAGCAGGUGCGAAAGCAGGUCAUAGUGAUCCGGUGGUUCUGAAUGGAAGGGCCAUCGCUCAACGGAUAAAAGGUACUCCGGGGAUAACAGGCUGAUACCGCCCAAGAGUUCAUAUCGACGGCGGUGUUUGGCACCUCGAUGUCGGCUCAUCACAUCCUGGGGCUGAAGUAGGUCCCAAGGGUAUGGCUGUUCGCCAUUUAAAGUGGUACGCGAGCUGGGUUUAGAACGUCGUGAGACAGUUCGGUCCCUAUCUGCCGUGGGCGCUGGAGAAUUGAGGGGGGCUGCUCCUAGUACGAGAGGACCGGAGUGGACGCAUCACUGGUGUUCGGGUUGUCAUGCCAAUGGCACUGCCCGGUAGCUAAAUGCGGAAGAGAUAAGUGCUGAAAGCAUCUAAGCACGAAACUUGCCCCGAGAUGAGUUCUCCCUGAGACUUUAAGUCUCCUGAAGGAACGUUAAAGACGAUGACGUUGAUAGGCCGGGUGUGUAAGCGCAGCGAUGCGUUGAGCUAACCGGUACUAAUGAACCGUGAGGCUUAACCUU